CAGGAGGUGGAGGCAUGAUGUCCAGUGGCAUGUCUUUAGACGGUUCCAUGAUAUCUGGUGGCAUGGUGUCAUGUGGUGGCUCUGAAAUGAUGUCAUCAGGUGGAGCCAUGUCAGGCGGCAUGAUGUCAUCAGGUGGCUCCAUGAUGUCAGGAGGUGGAGCCAUGAUGUCAGGAGGUGGCUCUGAAAUGAUGUCAUCAGGUGGAGCCAUGAUGUCAGGAGGUGGAGGCAUGGUGUCAUGUGGUGGCUCUGAAAUGAUGUCAUCAGGUGGAGCCAUGAUUUCAGGAGGUGGAGCCAUGAUGUCAGGAGGUGGGGCCCAAAUGAUGUCAGGAG
ensembl:lncRNA